rnacentral:rRNA from 1 species
CCUACGGGAGGCAGCAGUGGGGAAUAUUGGACAAUGGGCGCAAGCCUGAUCCAGCCAUGCCGCGUGUGUGAUGAAGGCCCUAGGGUUGUAAAGCACUUUCAACGGUGAAGAUAAUGACGGUAACCGUAGAAGAAGCCCCGGCUAACUUCGUGCCAGCAGCCGCGGUAAU